GGGAGGGAUAGGCCUGCAUCUGUGAAAGGAAGAUAGAGGAGCAUUCUAAACAUGUGUUUGGAAGAAUACGCUCUACCCACAUUGAUGGCCUGUUCAUCUGAAUCAGUUUUCCAAGCUCUGCAAGGGUUAAAAGAUGGCAACUUCCAACAGCCAGAUCUGAGGUAAACAUUGUCUGCUGCAGAGUUUUGGUGGAAAAGUUACAAAGUGUUAUGAUGUGAUUGGUUGUACAGAAGGUCCUCGCUGCCUGAGGGAAGAAACUCUCUGAUUGGAUUUCUCUUCUGGAUUCUCUACCAGCUCAAUCUAAAGUCUAUAAUAGACUAAUGUGUAAUGAAUUCUGAAAUUCUGUGAUACAGUUGUGGAUCAAGGAAUGGGUUCAUCACUGAGACAACAAUAAGAAACUAUUAGCAACUUUCUGUAUGGCAGAGUGAUCAUACUAUGGGAAAAUGUGCAUCCUGGCCCACGAGAUCAUUCAUGUUUAAUAUUUAUAUUCUAGGAAUUCAUAUUCAAAUUACAAAUAGCUUUUCCCUGCAUUACAUUUUGUAUUACCUGCAUUUGCAAUUUAACACACUUGAGACAACAUGACUACUUAGUAUUACUUUGAGAAAGCAGCACAAGAUCCACUGCACUUAAGCAAACAAAUAAAUGCUUAUGAUGGAAGAGUUUUGAGUGCUGACCUAGUAUAGAGUGCUCCAUGCAUUAUGUUGUGGGCAUAGAUGGUACACUCAUGGAGGAGCUGUAGCCACUUCCAGAGCUCAGAGCAAGUAAUUUUUCAUUGUACGUAUGAGUCCAUGUGCCUUUCUGGGCUUCAGCAGAAACAAUCACAUCAAUGGACCCAGAAACAGAGGCAAGAGAAUAAAGAGUGAGAGAAAUGCCAGACACUGAAUUCAAGAAGCCAUCUAAGAUCAGGUGUAUACAUGGUAUUUCUGCCUUCCUCCUUCUCCAGGCCCUCUGACAUAGGGCAAAUGUGAUCACCUCACCCCCACCUCUAUGCCAUUUCCAAAUGUGUGUUUGUGGCUCACUCAAAACCCCUAUUUCUCCUCACCCACAAUGAAGGGUUUACAAAAUUCAGAACUGGCAGGCACUCUGUCCCUAUACACCAAAUGAGCACCUCAGACUAAUUAGCUCCAUUGUAAAUUAAGCUUCAUUGUUUUCAAUGGAGCAAUGCCCCCUUCUCUUUGAAUACCAGUUUUCCUGUGCUUGAUAUUCCCAUGCCCCCAGCUUCAUCCGCCUUCUGUAAGCCAUGGGGUAGGUAUGUGCACAAAUCAAUUUUUGAUUCCAUUUUUGCCCAAAUCAAAUCAUCCCUGAUUUGUUUUGUGUCCAAAUCUACCCCCCACAUCACCCCAGAAUUGAUGUGUAUUUGACUUGAUUCAGAUUUGGAUUCAGAUAGAUUCAUACCACUUAGUAAGGUCUAAGGGGCACCA